CUAUAAAGGCCGCGCUCCGCCGGCGCGUCGCACGCUCUCUUCCUGGCUGCAGAGUGGUGUUUGCUCCUCCUCGCGCCCCCGCUGUUAACAAGAUGUCUUCAGGAACUGCAAAAAUUGGGCACCCUGCCCCCAACUUCAAAGCUACAGCAGUUAUGCCUGAUGGUCAGUUCAAAGAUAUCAGCCUGACUGACUACAAAGGAAAAUACAUAGUGUUCUUUUUUUACCCUCUUGACUUCACCUUCGUGUGCCCUACGGAGAUCAUUGCUUUCAGUGACAGGGCAGAAGAAUUUA